GACGCCAUCUGUGCCAUCUUUGUCAUAGUCAUUGCCUUUGGUUCCCUGAUUCUUGCCCAAACUCUGAACGCUGGGCAAGUUGGGUUGGCAUUAUCCUAUGCCAUCACUCUCAUGGGAAUGUUUCAGUGGGGAGUUAGACAAAGUGCCGAAGUUGAGAAUAUGAUGAUAUCUGUAGAAAGAGUAAUUGAGUAUACAGAUAUUGAAAACGAAGCCCCUUGGGAAUCCAAGAAACCACCACCAUCAGCCUGGCCGCACGAAGGAGUGAUCAUCUUUGAUAAUGU